AGAGUGGAGGGGUGGCAGGUAGCCUAGUGGUUAGAGUGGAGGGGAGGCAGGUAACCUAGUGGUUAGAGUGGAGGGGCGGCAGGUAGCCUAGUGGUUAGAGUGGAGGGGCGGCAGGUAGCCUAGUGGUUAGAGUGGAGGGGAGGCAGGUAGCCUAGUGGUUAGAGUGGAGGGGCGGCAGCUAGCCUAGUGGUUAGAGCGGAGUGGAGGGGCGGCAGGUAGCCUAGUGGUUAGAGUGGAGGGGAGGCAGGUAGCCUAGUGGUUAGAGUGGAGUGGAGGCAGGUAGCCUAGUGGUUAGAGUGGAGUGGAGGCAGGUAGCCUAGUGGUUAGAGUGGAGGGGAGGCAGGUAGCC
rnacentral:lncRNA from 1 species